rnacentral:lncRNA from 1 species
AUGACCAAAGGCUGUUAGCAAGGGCGGGAGCCUCUGACAGGCAGGAGACAAUGAACUGGACCUGAGCCUGGACAACCUGAAUGAAGGCCCUUAAGGAGCUGGCUGCCCUUCCAAAGGCCCCCAUGCUGGAUCUGUUCUGAAAUAAAUCUGGGGCUCUACUGUUGAAUUUCCAUGGCCUUACAUGCCUGGUGAGGCUAGAUUAAGAAUGAGCUGCAGGAGGUGGGAGGAUCGCUUGAGGCCAGGAGUUGGAGACAGCCUGGGCAACAGUGAGACCCUGUCUCUACCAAAAAAAAAAAAAAAAAAAAAAAAUGGCUGGGCGUGGUGUGUACCUGUGGUCCCAGCUACUUGGGAGGCUAAGCGGGAGGAUGGCUUGAGCCUAGGAGGUCAAGGCUGCAGUGAGCCCUGAUUGUGCCACUGUACUCAAGCCUGGAUGACAGACCCUGUCUUGGGGGCAGGGCACAGAGAGGAAGAAAAAAAUGGGCUGUAACGGUUGCCCACAGACUUGAGCCAUUUGGUCAACAUCUAGCACCUGGUUCUCCUCAGCAAGCUGGCCACCCUGCCUGUCUGCUUUGCUUAGCUCAAGAACCUGAAGUGUCUGGACCUGUAGGAUAACUCCCUGGAUCCUCUCCUGGCCAAGGUGGCAAGUGAUUGCUUGGAUAAGAGGCAAUGUAAGCAGCACGCAUACGAGGCGUCACAAGAUGUGAAGGCCGUGCAGGUGGGUUAGAAGCAGGAGAGGCAUCAGAAGUAGGAGAGGCAGAGAAACCUGAGGCCAAGCAGCGAGCUAAGGAACCUCAGGAGGGGGAAAGAAGGAUACCUUCAAAGCAGUUAAGUGGAUCAGGAGAAGAAACUCAAGAAGGAAACAAACCAGGGCCCGAAAUCCAAGUCCCACUCCUGCUCCCACAAGCCACCACCCGGGACUCAAUGUCCUGUCUCUGCUGAAGCUACUGCUACUGUCUUGUGUGGCCAGUGGGCUGGUUGCUCAUGGGUGAGAGAGCUGCAGCCUCUCUGCGCCAGUGUGAAUGCCAUCUAUGACAAUGCAGUUGCAAGGUCUACGUCACCACAAGAUCUUCCAGUGGGGUCUUCCAGACCGACUCUCAACAGUGA